CUUAGUUGCUGGCAAUAGACCCGAAACGGAGGUGAUCUAACCAUGACCAGGAUGAAACUUUGGUAACACAAAGUGAAGGUCCGAACCGGUCAAUCUUGAGAAAUUGUCGGAUGAGUUGUGGUUAGGAGCGAAAGACUAAUCAAACCCCGUGAUAGCUGGUUCUUUCCGAAAUAUAUUUGGGUAUAGCGUCGAGUGCUGAUUUGCGGAGGUAGAGCACUAAAUAAGCUAGGGCCCCUACCGGGGUACUGAACUUAAUUAAACUCCGAAUACCGCAGAGUGAAGCUCGGCAGUCAGACGGUGGGGGAUAACCUCCAUCGUCGAGAGGAGAAUAGUCCAAACCAUCAGUUAAGGUCCCAAAAUACGGCUCAGUGAAAAAGGAUGUGAUUUUGCUCAGACAAUGGGGAUGUUGGCUUAGAGGCAGCCAUCAUUUAAACAGUGCGUAACAGCUGACCCAUCGAGCGAAAUUGCGCCGAAAAUGAUCGGGACUUAAGCCGUAUACCGAAGCUAUGGGUUCACCGCAAGGUGAGCAGUAGGAAAGCGUUCCAAGUGCAGCGAAGUGGAAGGGUAACCGACCAUGGAGCGCUUGGAAGUGAGAAUGCAGACAUAAGUAACGAUAAAGCCGGUUGAAAUCCGGCUCGCCUAAAUUCCAAGGUUUCCUGGGGAAGGUUCGUCCUCCCAGGGUUAGUCGGGUGCUAAGACGAGGCCGUAAGGAAUAGUCGAUGCCAAACUGGUUUAAUAUUCCAGUACCGUCCGAAACCGUUUGAUCCGUAGAAUGACGGAGAAAGUUAAUCUAGCGACGUGUUGAAUCGUCGUCGAAGCUCGUAGGUUCGCCGGGGUUAAAAGACCGGCUUAGUCUGAAAAGCGACAGGACCCUGAAGCCACGGCUGAUGGGGAUUAGAUGAUACUAUGCUUCCGAGAAAAGUUCUCCGGUUAGGCCAAGGACGCCCGUACCGUAAACCGACACAGGUGGAAAAGAUGAGUAUUCUAAGGCGCGCGAGUUAAAUCUCUCUAAGGAACUCGGCAAAUUAGCCCCGUAUCUUCGGUAUAAGGGGUGCCCCGCAAGGGGCCGCAGUUAAUUGCGUCAACCGACUGUUUAGCAAAAACACAGCACUCUGCUAAGUCGCAAGACGAUGUAUAGGGUGUGACACGUGACCAAUGCGGAAAGGUGAAAGCCUAGGGUGCAAGCUCUGGGUCUAAGCCCCCGUGAAUGUCGGCCGUAACUAUAACGGUCCUAAGGUAGCGAAAUUCCUUGUCGGGUAAGUUCCGACCCGCACGAAUCGUGUAACGAGUUGACGACUGUCUCGGAGAGAGGCUCGGUGAAAUUGUAGUGGCGGUGAAGAUGCCGCCUACCCGCAG
rnacentral:rRNA from 1 species